GUCAAAAGUGAUACUUCAGCAUGGUUCUUCCGCCCAAUAGACACAGGUUGAUGUGGAUGUCUCCUUGUGCAUGGUGUAGCCAGUGGAAUCUUGUCUUUCCGUAACCUGCCAAGGAGGUCACAAUGCCUAGAGGUCAGAAAUAAGCUGCCUCCCACUCUACUAAGCAUGGACACACAGCAGAAAGUUUUGUAUAUUACCACACAUUUUUCAAAGAAAUUAUUUCUUCCUCCACUUUUCCACCUACCUCCUCCAAAAUGUAAAAAAUUAAAGAAAUGUCCU